rnacentral:tRNA from 1 species
GGGGAUAUAGCUGAGUGGUAGAGCAUGUGCUUAACAUGUGCAAGGUCCUGGAUUCAAUCCCCAGUACCUCCA